GGCGAACGCUGGCGGCGUGCUUAACACAUGCAAGUCGAACGGAAAGGCCCCUUCGGGGGUACUCGAGUGGCGAACAGGUGAGUAACACGUGAGUAACCUGCCCUUGACUUCGGGAUAACUUCAGGAAACUGGGGCUAAUACCGGAUAGGAAUCCUUGCUGCAUGGUGGGGGUUGGAAAGCUUCGGCGGUUUUGGAUGGACUCGCGGCUUAUCAGCUUGUUGGUGGGGUAGUGGCUUACCAAGGCUUUGACGGGUAGCCGGCCUGAGAGGGCGACCGGCCACAUUGGGACUGAGAUACGGCCCAGACUCCUACGGGAGGCAGCAGUGGGGAAUAUUGCACAAUGGGCGGAAGCCUGAUGCAGCAACGCCGCGUGCGGGAUGACGGCCUUCGGGUUGUAAACCGCUUUCAGCAGGGGCGAAGCUUGUGGUGACGGUACCUGCAGAAGAAGCACCGGCUAACUACGUG
rnacentral:rRNA from 1 species